CACUCUUCGGAGUGAGUGGCAGACGGGUGAGUAACGCGUGGAAACGUGCCUUUCUCUACGGAAUAGCCCUUGGAAACGAGGUGUAAUACCGUAUACGCCCUUAGGGGGAAAGAUUUAUCGGAGAAAGAUCGGUCCGCGUUAGAUUAGUUUGUUGGUGGGGUAAUGGCCUACCAAGACUACGAUCUAUAGCUGAUUUGAGAGGAUGAUCAGCCACACUGGAACUGAGACACGGUCCAGACUCCUACGGGAGGCAGCAGUGGGGAAUCUUGGACAAUGGGGGAAACCCUGAUCCAGCCAUGCUGCGUGAAUGAUGAAGGCCUUAGGGUUGUAAAAUUCUUUCACCGGGGAAGAUAAUGACGGUACCCGGAGAAGAAGCUCCGGCUAACUUCGUGCCAGCAGCCGCGGUAAUACGAAGGGAGCUAGCGUUGUUCGGAAUUACUGGGCGUAAAGCGCACGUAGGCGGAUUAGUAAGUAAGAGGUGAAAUCCCAGGGCUCAACCCUGGAACUGCCUUUUAAACUGCUAGUCUAGAGGAUAGGAGAGGUCAGUGGAAUACCGAGUGUAGAGGUGAAAUUCGUAGAUAUUCGGUGGAACACCAGUGGCGAAGGCGACUGACUG
rnacentral:rRNA from 1 species